CAACUAUUUUUAUUUUCAGAUAUGUUCUCAGGGUGACUAAAAGUUACCCAGUCAAUAUGGUGCACGUAUGGCACAUCUUGGACGUAGCAAUUUGCAUUCCAAAAUUCUGAAGUGUCCUAUUUUUAAAGAAAAACUUCAGAAUUUACCUUUGCGAAGCAUUCAGAGCCUCAUGUAUAAGCAGCCGUGGUAUUAAAGUGCUGUAAUACCAUUAUAACUUCAUUGAUACUGAGAUAUAUUGACCUAUUUCUGUGGAUGGAAAAGACUGAAGCUAUGGAGAAUACUAAGACAACAGACAGUUUCAUCUUCAGUGGAUGUCAGGACAGUUCCUACUAAGAAAACUGUUUCUUGUGAAAGCCUUUGCCACUAAUUUUAUCUGUAAUGAAAUGUACUUACCAAAGUACUUUUACUUUCUGGAUGAAAGUGAAAUAGAAUGAAGUAUAGGGAAGGCAAAAACUAUCUAUGUAGUAACAAAUGUGGUUUGGCGAGAUAUAGUUUUGUCUAAACUGGAAUCAAUAUUCGUAAAUAUCUAAGUUGUAACUUCACAAAAUAUCUAUAUGAAUUUCAGGUCCAUUUGUCACUUGAUCCGAGUGACAGUUUAGUAGCACUAAUAGGAAAGUACUCACAUGUAUGAUAAUGUGGUUAAGAAAAUAUCAUUAUCCUGGAAUAUUAUAAUUUAAUUUUAUGGUAUAGGAGGGUUAUUGAAAUCGUAGUGAUUCUUACUUGAUUAUUCGUCCGAUUGCCUUGGUUUGACAAAUUGUUCUCUGAUUGUCUUCUAUUCUGUGUCCUGUAAGAUAAAACAGUUAUGUACAUAAGAAACCCCAUAGCUAGUAAUGACUAGCCUCAGAUUUUGCAAUGUCAGCAAGGUCAUAUAGUUUUCCCAACUCUAAUUUUAAUCCUGAGUGAAUAAUAGAUUUUGUAAAUGUUUUAUCUUGUGAACACAUCCCCAGCUGCUAUGUGAACAGCAUUCAUUACUCUACAUAACUAGUUGCAAUAAAUCUCAUUCACACAAUCCUGCCAUCCUUGGUAUACAUGCUGAGCUUAGUUAGUAUCCAGUGUACAGUUAGGCAAGAGAAAGAUCACCCUGGGUUCCCACUCCUGAUUGCUAUCCAAUGAGUUCUAAUCACAAAUGCAGAAUUGGCCGUCUGGUGAAGUCAGGAUCAAGCUUGGCUUUUGGUGCCACAAAUGUAAAUGGCAUGCCACUGUUUGCUGUCUAAGUCCAUCCAUGAAGAAUAGUAAAUUAGGCAGCAAACUUGAAGGCUCAUAGAACCUUUAAUACCUUUUAGGAGACACCACCUUCAGGAUAGGUAGGGAGAAACCACACAGUAGAAAGUAUUUUAUUUUAAUUUCAAAUAGAAAAAAAAUCAAACUAAUCGAGAAACAAUAAAUAAGUAACUGCAUUUCUAAUGAAAACUCAAUGAAAGGUUGGAGAUGAACUCCAAUGUCACAUACGUUGCGUGUGGAGCUUUCCU